rnacentral:rRNA from 1 species
GACGUAGGGCGCGAGCGUUGUCCGGAUUUAUUGGGCGUAAAGAGCUCGUAGGCGGCUUGUCGCGUCGUCCGUGAAAACCUGUGGCUCAACUGCAGGCUUGCGGUCGAUACGGGCAGGCUGGAGUUCGGUAGGGGAGACUGGAAUUCCUGGUGUAGCGGUGAAAUGCGCAGAUAUCAGGAGGAACACCAGUGGCGAAGGCGGCAUCCUGGACCGGUAUUGACGCUGAGGCGCGAAAGCUAGGGUAGCAAACGGG